rnacentral:lncRNA from 1 species
CGGAAUGGAGCUGGUAGCGUAGCAUCUCUGUCGGGGAAAAGAGGAGGGAACCCAGGUCACGACAGCAUAUAUUCCUGUCGCAGUUAGACAGCGUGGAUCGGCCUGUAUGGCUGUAUCCUACUACUACUACUUCUCGUACUGUACAUGAAAGGCGGGUGGGCCCCACGGGAGUGGCUGCUGUCAGGGACGCUGCUAAUACGCAAGGGAGCAGCAGGAGCUACUGGUUGGUGCAGGGAAUCCUG